CUCGUAGGUGGUUUGUCACGUUGUUCGUGAAAACUCACAGCUUAACUGUGGGCGUGCGGGCGAUACGGGCAGACUGGAGUACUGCAGGGGAGACUGGAAUUCCUGGUGUAGCGGUGGAAUGCGCAGAUAUCAGGAGGAACACCGGUGGCGAAGGCGGGUCUCUGGGCAGUAACUGACGCUGAGGAGCGAAAGCGUGGGAGCGAACA
rnacentral:rRNA from 1 species